AGCGAACAUUGGCGGUAGGCUUAACACAUGCAAGUCGAGCGAGGCGUAAUAGUCGAGCGGCGAACGGGUGAGUAAUACAUGGGAAUCUACCCUGAAGAGGGGGAUAACGUUCAGAAAUGGACGCUAAUACCGCAUAAUCCACAUUGGGAGAGCGUUGCAGCGCUUUAGGAUGAGCCCAUGGCUGAUUAGCUAGUUGGUGAGGUAAUGGCUCACCAAGGCGACGAUCAGUAGCUGGUCUGAGAGGAUGAUCAGCCACACUGGAACUGAGACACGGUCCAGACUCCUACGGGAGGCAGCAGUGGGGAAUCUUGCGCAAUGGGGGCAACCCUGACGCAGCCAUACCGCGUGAGUGAUGAAGGUCUUCGGAUUGUAAAGCUCUUUCGGCGGGGACGACGAUGACGGUACCCGCAAAAGAAGUCACGGCUAACUUCGUGCCAGCAGCCGCCGUAA
rnacentral:rRNA from 1 species